CCUACGGGAGGCAGCAGUGAGGAAUAUUGGUCAAUGGGCGGGAGCCUGAACCAGCCAAGUCGCGUGAGGGAAGACGGUCCUAUGGAUUGUAAACCUCUUUAGCCGGGGAGCAAUGCCGGGCACGUGUGCCCGGAGGGAGAGUACCCGCAGAAUAAGCAUCGGCUAACUCCGUGCCAGCAGCCGCGGUAAUACGGAGGAUGCGAGCGUUAUCCGGAUUUAUUGGGUUUAAAGGGUGCGUAGGCGGAUUUUUAAGUCAGCGGUAAAAUGUCCGGGCUCAACCCGGGCCGGCCGUUGAAACUGGGGAGCUUGAGUGGGCGAGAAGUAUGCGGAAUGUGUGGUGUAGCGGUGAAAUGCAUAGAUAUCACGCAGAACUCCGAUUGCGAAGGCAGCAUACCGGCGCCCGACUGACGCUGAGGCACGAAAGCGUGGGGAUCGAACAGGAUUAGAUACCCGGGUAGUC
rnacentral:rRNA from 1 species